AGUGCUGGAAUUAAAGGUAUGUGCCACCACUGUCCAGCCUGAAAUCCACUACUUUCUAUGCUAACAAAUAUUAAUGAUAAAACGAUUGAUAAGCUUUAAAGAAAGGCCCACGCACCUCAGCAAAAGGCAGGACGGGAAGCUGAUAUUUGCAAACGCUUGUCCCUAUCUGGGCUUGGACUAGUGCCAUGGGAACAUCUCCAGGAUUAGGUGGUCCAAGAACAAGUUAAACAAUUCGAUCCAUUUACAGAAAUCAAUGAGAACAUGCCCUGAUGACCUAUCUCCCCUUCAGGACCCUGCGAGGGAGCUGGGAAGAGAUUUCCUUGAACACCAACUGCAUCCUCCUCAAAUAUCAGAGCUACACGAAAGGCUGCUUCCAACACUAAGAAUCCACUGUAGUAGAAGAUAAAAGCUGAGACCUACCAAGCAAGCUUCAGGUCUCAUGAAAUGCAGCCAAGGUCUCACAGGGAGCCUUUAAGUGACAGUGAGGCAUCACGUUUUGUACAGGGCAAGGACUUCAACUGAGAAAAACCAAAUGAGAAUAUUCAACAACUUGUUUUCUGUAAAGCUCAACUGUAAAACAGAUUUCAGACCCGGGGGCGGACAUCUUCACUGAGACAGCCCAAGCAGUCACAAAUCAGACUUCAAGGUGCACACACUAAAGAGAUCCAGUCAACUUCCCACCGGUGUAAACACCAAAAGGCGGAGAAGACUAUUGACAGUAAGAAAACACCAUGUAUGUGUAGAAAUAAUUCAGUACCCCUUUAAGAACUGCUAACAAUAGUAAAUACUAACAAAUAUUCAGAAACUACGUCUCUAAAAUAAAGAUAGAGUAAUUAAGAGAAGUUGAAUGUCCUGUCCUCCUGUUAGAUAAAAAUCAGAGAAACAAGGCGGUAUAUUUUUUCCUAAUCUUUCUUCUUUUUCAUUUCAUUUACUGAAUCAGGGUGGCUCUACAGAGUCCUGGCUGGCCUGGAACUUCCUAUGCAGAUCAAGCUGGCCUUGAACACACGGCAAUCCCCCUGUCUCUAUAGUCAGUGCCUGAAUUAAAGGCAUACAGCACCAUGCCCAGCUAAAGAUUUACUUUAUUUUAAACCCUGUGUGUGUGCACAUGUGCACCGAGCACACCAGCAUGUGGUGUUCACCUACACUCUAGGCCCCUCCCAUCGCAUCCUUCCUGGCCACACUUUAAA
rnacentral:sRNA from 1 species